CUAUAAAUAGAGAUUAAGUGAGGAUUAAGCUCAUUUGUACACUAAAAUUGCCCAACUCUUCUAGCUAUGCUCUCUCAACCUCUUAGUUCCCAAAAACACUUGCCCAUACACUCCUAAGUACAGCCCCACGAUCACAAGCAUCAAAAACACAAGAUCAAAGUCAGAAAUCAAGAAAUCAAAGUGAGAAAAGGUAUGAAAUUCCCUAAUUUUGAAGUCCUUCGAUUCGAUGUUAAUUGAUGCAAUUGAUUGUUUAAAGUUGUGUAAUAAGGAGUCUAUUAAUGUUCUGGGUUGUAAAAUCAUGGACCUAUAACAUCAAAGUGCACGAAUUUGAAGAUUUAAAGCAAGUUGGAAAAAUCGAAUUCUGUUAUUUUUCACCAAAUGUCAGAGGCUAUAACUCUUUGUUAGAUCUCGCGUUUUGUUGUUUAAAAGUUGUUAUAGGUAGCCUGAUAUGUGGUCUUUAAACUCCAAAAGGAAUCAAGUUCAUAUCUAUUGUAGAUCGGGAUUUAUAAGCGGUCAAAGUGGGUUGACCGGCAUUGACCGGCUGUUUUUCAAACCCAGAAAAUAUUCUAAGUGUCCAGAAAAUUUGUUUUGGCAAAUGUCAGGCAUUAUAUCUCGGUUAUCUUUAAUGUGUUUUUGUGUUCUAAAGGUUUUUAUGUGUAGCUUGUUAUGUGGUAUUUAACCUCCAAAAAGAAUCAGGUCCAUAUAUAUUACGGAUUAAGAGUUAUUUAAGGUCAAAGUGGGUUGACCGGCAUUGACC
rnacentral:lncRNA from 1 species